rnacentral:rRNA from 1 species
UACGAAGGGGGCUAGCGUUGCUCGGAAUCACUGGGCGUAAAGCGCACGUAGGCGGGUCCUUAAGUCAGGGGUGAAAUCCCGGAGCUCAACUCCGGAACUGCCUUUGAUACUGGGGAUCUUGAGUCCGGAAGAGGUGAGUGGAACUCCGAGUGUAGAGGUGAAUUCGUAGAUAUUCGGAAGAACACCAGUGGCGAAGGCGGCUCACUGGUCCGGUACUGGACGCUGAGGUGCGAAAGGCGUGGG